UGUUUUAAUAAAAUAUUUAUUCAAAUGCUUACUGACUGAUUAUAAAUAAAUAUUUUGAAAACUUUAUUCCUUUCAAGUCUUUCCUGGUUCAAACCAGACACGUACUGAAGAUGCGUGUAUAUACGUAUAUUUGUAUAAUUUGCGCAUAUCAGAAUUAUUUUACAUUAUUGUAACACUAAUAAAUCGUACUUAAUAAAUAAAUAAAAAUUAUCAUUUUACAAGUAAUUUCCUUGUAAAAUAAAAUCAAAAUUCUUCAAGAGAAGCACUGUAAUUUCAAACAGCCGCGCCAUCUAUGCACAGAAACAUGAAUUUAGUCGCAGAUACCUGCUUUGCUCACGGGGGAUUAGGGUCACGUGAUCAUAGAGGGCCGGCAGCCGCCAUUUCGUGUCGGGACGCUAUCGUGGAGUGACGCAUUUAAAUUCUUCGUACGGUUAUUGCGAUUUUUGCACGUUUUAGUGAGAUAUAUGCAAAAGUAGUGCUUUAAUUAGUUGACUAACGGAUAAUGUUGAACGUAGAGUAGUAUUUUGACGGGCGUAACGCGAGUAAACACGGGAAAAGUGAACGAGAAUUGUUUGUUGCCGGUGUCUCGUUUGAAUCGUGUGUGAGAGGUCGCUGCUCAAGGGGAACGCUGUUCAAAAGGACGAGAUUAUUCACAAGCAUAAGCUGUUCGUAGAGGUUUUGCAGAAUUAGCGUGGGCGGCAUACCGGCUUAAGGAGAGGACGGACGUGUAGCCAGAGUGUCGUCGCCGCUUUCCAGGCAACCGCUUCCGGUAUUUAGGGAGCUCUUUGUUUUCACCCUUCAAAACAAACUGGAGGCUACACACCAUAACAGUUUCCAUUCCAUACUAAUUGCUGCGCGACGGAAAGCUGUUCUUCACGCGAAACAUAAGAGACCUGGAAUCUGAAGUUCCACAGCGCUAAAAAGCUGGACGUGUGCAUCUGCAGAUAUGGCAACAUCCCUCACGUGGCUCACGACGAUGUCCUUCGCCAUGUCCGUAGGACAGUCCAACACUACGUAUUUGUUGCUCCACCUGUGAAUUAUUCGAACACUUUCAUCGUGUCUUUUUCGAAAAAGAAGCCGGGGGAAGGUUGGUUUGGUCGCGAACGCACAUUAGCUCGAAUCGUUUCAACUCUUCUACGACAAUUUCAACCAUAAUGAAGAACGAUCGCGGUGAUGAAUCAACUGCAAUUACUGGCUUAUACGCGACACGCGGAAAUGGAUGGGGUUUGUUUACACGUCGGGACAACUGAAGGCGUAACUAUCCAUUGAUGGGUGUUGCACGAGCAAACGACUGUAGCCGAUUUUCUACGAUAUCUGGCUGGAAUGUUGGCCACUGGAGAACCGGAGAACGGAUGAA